rnacentral:rRNA from 1 species
GAUGAACGCUGGCGGCGUGCCUAAUACAUGCAAGUCGAGCGAACGGACGAGAAGCUUGCUUCUCUGAUGUUAGCGGCGGACGGGUGAGUAACACGUGGAUAACCUACCUAUAAGACUGGGAUAACUUCGGGAAACCGGAGCUAAUACCGGAUAAUAUUUUGAACCGCAUGGUUCAAAAGUGAAAGACGGUCUUGCUGUCACUUAUAGAUGGAUCCGCGCUGCAUUAGCUAGUUGGUAAGGUAACGGCUUACCAAGGCAACGAGGCAUAGCCGACCUGAGAGGGUGAUCGGCCACACUGGAACUGAGACACGGACCAGACUCCUACGGGAGGCAGCAGUAGGGAAUCUUCCGCAAUGGGCGAAAGCCUGACGGAGCAACGCCGCGUGAGUGAUGAAGGUCUUCGGAUCGUAAAACUCUGUUAUUAGGGAAGAACAUAUGUGUAAGUAACUGUGCACAUCUUGACGGUACCUAAUCAGAAAGCCACGGCUAACUACGUG